AGAGUUUGAUCCUGGCUCAGAUUGAACGCUGGCGGCAGGCCUAACACAUGCAAGUCGAACGGUAACAGAAAGCAGCUUGCUGCUUUGCUGACGAGUGGCGGACGGGUGAGUAAUGUCUGGGAAACUGCCUGAUGGAGGGGGAUAACUACUGGAAACGGUAGCUAAUACCGCAUAACGUCGCAAGACCAAAGUGGGGGACCUUCGGGCCUCAUGCCAUCAGAUGUGCCCAGAUGGGAUUAGCUAGUAGGUGGGGUAACGGCUCACCUAGGCGACGAUCCCUAGCUGGUCUGAGAGGAUGACCAGCCACACUGGAACUGAGACACGGUCCAGACUCCUACGGGAGGCAGCAGUGGGGAAUAUUGCACAAUGGGCGCAAGCCUGAUGCAGCCAUGCCGCGUGUGUGAAGAAGGCCUUCGGGUUGUAAAGCACUUUCAGCGGGGAGGAAGGCGUUAAGGUUAAUAACCUUGGCGAUUGACGUUACCCGCAGAAGAAGCACCGGCUAACUCCGUGCCAGCAGCCGCGGUAAUACGGAGGGUGCAAGCGUUAAUCGGAAUUACUGGGCGUAAAGCGCACGCAGGCGGUCUGUCAAGUCGGAUGUGAAAUCCCCGGGCUCAACCUGGGAACUGCAUUCGAAACUGGCAGGCUAGAGUCUUGUAGAGGGGGGUAGAAUUCCAGGUGUAGCGGUGAAAUGCGUAGAGAUCUGGAGGAAUACCGGUGGCGAAGGCGGCCCCCUGGACAAAGACUGACGCUCAGGUGCGAAAGCGUGGGGAGCAAACAGGAUUAGAUACCCUGGUAGUCCACGCCGUAAACGAUGUCGAUUUGGAGGUUGUGCCCUUGAGGCGUGGCUUCCGGAGCUAACGCGUUAAGUCGACCGCCUGGGGAGUACGGCCGCAAGGUUAAAACUCAAAUGAAUUGACGGGGGCCCGCACAAGCGGUGGAGCAUGUGGUUUAAUUCGAUGCAACGCGAAGAACCUUACCUGGUCUUGACAUCCACGGAAGUUUUCAGAGAUGAGAAUGUGCCUUCGGGAACCGUGAGACAGGUGCUGCAUGGCUGUCGUCAGCUCGUGUUGUGAAAUGUUGGGUUAAGUCCCGCAACGAGCGCAACCCUUAUCCUUUGUUGCCAGCGGUCCGGCCGGGAACUCAAAGGAGACUGCCAGUGAUAAACUGGAGGAAGGUGGGGAUGACGUCAAGUCAUCAUGGCCCUUACGACCAGGGCUACACACGUGCUACAAUGGCGCAUACAAAGAGAAGCGACCUCGCGAGAGCAAGCGGACCUCAUAAAGUGCGUCGUAGUCCGGAUUGGAGUCUGCAACUCGACUCCAUGAAGUCGGAAUCGCUAGUAAUCGUGGAUCAGAAUGCCUCGGUGAAUACGUUCCCGGGCCUUGCACACACCGCCCGUCA
rnacentral:rRNA from 1 species